GCUCCUGUAGCUUAACGGACAGAGCAGAGGUUUCCUAAACCUCCGAUCUCAGUUCAAUUCUGAGCAGGAGCA
rnacentral:tRNA from 1 species